rnacentral:rRNA from 1 species
AUUGAACGCUGGCGGCAGGCCUAACACAUGCAAGUCGAACGGAGCGGCGGACGGGUGAGUAAUGCCUAGUAAUCUGCCUGUUAGUGAGGGAUAACGUCCGGAAACGGGCGCUAAUACCUCAUCCUUUCAGAUCCGCCUAGGUCGGAUUAGCUAGUGGGUGGGGUAAAGGCCUACCAAGGCGACGAUCCGUAACUGGUCUGAGAGGAUGAUCAGUCACACUGGAACGGAGACACGGUCCAGACUCCUACGGGAGGCAGCAGUGGGGAAUAUUGGACAAUGGGCGAAAGCCUGAUCCAGCCAUGCCGCGGGUGUGAAGAAGGUCUUCGGAUUGUAAAGCACUUUCAGCGGGGAGGCGUUACCCGCAGAAGAAGCACCGGCUAACUCCGUGCCAGCAGCCGCGGUAAUUC